rnacentral:lncRNA from 1 species
AAUGUUGUUUUUGGUGACUUUGGUUUUUGAAAAAUAAACUAAGAUUGACGUUUUGGAUAAUUUCAAGAGUUUGGUAAUAGAUCUAUAAGUAAAAUUUUCUAGAUUUGUGGGUGUACUUGUGCAAGAUGUGUAUUGUGAAUUUAGAUUUGAUCGAAUGGCUAGAUUAAAAGCAUGAAGAUUUUUGUGGGUUAUAGUCUCAAAAUUCAGGAUUUUGAAGAUCAAUGAGGUUUUCUUAGAUAUUUGUCAAUCCACUAAUUAGAUUGAAGCAAAUAUUUUUAAAAAAGUGGUGAAAUUGAUUUUUAAUAAGUGUGUACAUUUUGGGAGCAAAGUAACAAUUCAAUUAGGAGUAAUUGGCUCUCGGAGAUUGGCAUCAAGGUCAGAGAAGGAGGCUAGUCAAUACACAAGUAUAUUUUUGAUAUUAUUAUCUAUUUGGUAAUUUUAAUCUUCUUCAAUUUUUUUUUAAUUAUUUUAAACUUAAUUAAUAAAUAAUGGAUAAAAUUUGAGUUGAAAUCAAUGGUUCAAA